rnacentral:rRNA from 1 species
UACGUAGGGGGCAAGCGUUGUCCGGAAUUAUUGGGCGUAAAGCGCGCGCAGGUGGUGAAUUAAGUUGUGGGUAAAAGGCAAUGGCUCAACCAUUGGUAAGCCUGCAAAACUGGUUCACUUGAGUGCAGGAGAGGGGAGUGGAAUUCCCGGUGUAGCGGUGGAAUGCGUAGAGAUCGGGAGGAACACCAGUGGCGGAAGGCGACUCUCUGGCCUGUAACGUGACACUGAGGCGCGAAAGC